GAAGAUUUUUUGACAUAAAACGGUCUUAGAAAAAUUCACUAAAAACGGUGUCAGCAAUAUUCUUGGAAGAAAACGUUAGAAAAACGUUUCAAAAAAAAAAUUGUAAGAAUGACCAUAUACUAAAUUAAAUAGAUAUUUCGUCUGAUUUUUGAUCAGGUAAGGCUUCAUAAAGGGCAACCGAUGGAUGUGGAUUUUCGAAAUGUGGUAUAUACCAUAAGCAUAGGUGCGUAAACGCACCUAUGCUAAAAAUUGUAAUGUCAGUGCUUGUAUACACCUCUGUAACAGUUCACUUGAAAAUAAUCAUAAACCCCUAACAAACAAAUCCUGCCCGCUUGAUACUUGUAAUGUGAAACUGGGGCUAUCUUUACUGACUUGCUGGAAUGUGUAUAAUCUCUUCUGAUUGGUUGGGAGCCAAAUUUGAACAUGUAAACAUAGAUCCAUGCAGGACCUGAAAUGUAGUUUCAAAGCAAUGUUGGGAAUUUUUAAAGUUGAAGUUUUAACAAUAUCCUGAUAUACUUUAAUGGACAUUCUUAAACAAUUAAUUAGAAUGUGAAAAUCAACAUUUUGUGUGUCAACAAGUCUCUAAAAGAGGAAUUCAGUGAGUAAUGAAGCGGCCCUUUUGGAAAUGCUUUGAACUGUUAAACAGCGAUUUUCAAAAAAGAUUGUGUAGCAACUUACCCCUGACAACGACCUCAGAAGUGCAGUCACAGAGUAAUGGUGCUGUUAUCACUUAAAAGCAACCAUCAAAAAAGAUUGUGUAGCAACUUUCCCCUGACAACGACCACUGGCUCAGUUAAAAGCAGUCACA